CCUACGGGAGGCAGCAGUGGGGAAUAUUGGACAAUGGGCGAAAGCCUGAUCCAGCAAUGCCGCGUGAGUGAUGAAGGCCUUAGGGUUGUAAAGCUCUUUUACCAGGGAUGAUAAUGACAGUACCUGGAGAAUAAGCUCCGGCUAACUCCGUGCCAGCAGCCGCGGUAAUACGGAGGGAGCUAGCGUUGUUCGGAAUUACUGGGCGUAAAGCGUACGUAGGCGGUUAUUCAAGUCAGAGGUGAAAGCCUGGAGCUCAACUCCAGAACUGCCUUUGAAACUAGAUAGCUAGAAUCUUGGAGAGGUGAGUGGAAUUCCGAGUGUAGAGGUGAAAUUCGUAGAUAUUCGGAAGAACACCAGUGGCGAAGGCGACUCACUGGACAAGUAUUGACGCUGAGGUACGAAAGCGUGGGGAGCAAACAGGAUUAGAUACCCUGGUAGUCCACGCCGUAAACCGAUGAUAACUAGCUGUUACGGGCUCUACGAGCUUGAGUGGCGCAGCUAACGCAUUAAGUUAUCCGCCNGGGGAUACGGUGCAAGNUUAAAACUCAAAUGAAUUGACCGGNNGNGAGNGCGAGACGACGACGAGGAGAG
rnacentral:rRNA from 1 species